rnacentral:piRNA from 1 species
UGAAAUAUAGAUACCUAGAGCCACAGGGUCC